AACUUUUUUUUCCUGAGCAAAGUACCAUAUGAGCUAGGAUUCAAAAAGGUGACCUGGAAUUUUCUGGAGGCCGGACAUGGGAAGGGCCCAGCUGAUGGAAUUGGUGCGGCUGUUAAGCGCCAAGCAGACUCGCUUGUGGCCAAGGGUAUUGACCUUCCAACUGGAAAAGUAUUGUAUGAACAACUGCUUAACCAGCCAUCAACUGUCAAGUUAAUGUACAUCACUGAGGGGGAAAUUGAAGAGAUGGAUAGUCUCCUUCCUGAUGACCUGCUGACCAUCAAAGGAACCAUGCAGAUACAUCAGAUUGUCUCUACAAGACCGGAGGAGAUUUCUUGGCGAGUUCUCAGCUGCUUUUGUGCAGAUCCCCAUCCUUGCCAGUGUUUUGGUCUCAAAAAAGUCAACAUACUGGGAGCACAGAACAUGGAGACUGCAUUGGGAUCACCAAGUUCAAGCACACUUACAGCACAUCUCAACCCAUCAUAGACCUGCAUGAGGGACUGAUUGGAAGUUGGUGUGUGGUACGGUAUGAUGGGGAUCCUUACCCUGGCAUUAUACAGGAUGUGGAGUCAUAUUGGCAAAAACAAGUUCUUCUGGCCUAUGAGAGACGAUGUUAUUUGGUACCGGCCAGAAGAUGUGAUCAGGCUGGUCCCAGAGCCUCAACCAGUAACAAAGAGGCAUGUGAUGGUGGAGCCAACAGUUUGGAAAGAAAUAUGCUCUGUUCUUGACCAUGAAACAUAACUGAACCUCUGGCCCAUAUGCAAGUUUGACAGAUACAGUAUUUAGCAAAUACAAUGUCUAUUUAGUCAGAUUCAACUUGUUAUUCCACAUGAUUACGUUUGACAGUACAUGGAUUUACGAUAUAACACACAUGACAGUAAUGUUUAAGUACAGAGUGUUUGCUCUGGUUCAGCAUAGGCAUAUAAGUUUUCAAUUUCAAAAUAUAUUGCCUAUUUUAUCUGUUAUUCAACUGGUUAUAUUAAGGUUAUGUUAAGGUAAUGAUGACAUAAAGGGUUUGCUCUAGUUUGUACUAGUUUGCUCUAGUUCAGCAUGUAGGAAACAGUGAAGAAAUGAUUUGCUGAUUUUUAACACAAAUUCAUGUUUUUUCAUUUUUUGGAUUGUUUUUAAUUAAAAAUAUUGGUGAUAUGUUUUUGUUCACAAAUGCUGUUGCUUAUUGAUUUGCUCUGGUUCACCACAUAGAGCAGUAGAAAAAUUGUUUUUAAUUGGAAGUUGCCUAUCUGUCAUUUCCGCCACACACUGUCUCUUCCGCCACGCCAUGUCAUUUCCACCACAACACAUAUUUUAAAGUAAAACAUAUAAAAAACAUACAAUCAAACCAACUAUAUUCAGUGGUGUUGAUAAUUGUGCAGUUAGGGCUAAGAUUUGUGUAUACACUUUGAGAAAUAUAUGAUUUUGAGCUAUGAUAAGAAAAUGAAAUGUUCCAUUGACCUAGUUUUAGGUGUUUUUUAGUGUAAACAUUGUAAAAUCUUUACAGUUACAUUUCUGAAAAAAAUAAUAAAUUACAAAUUUGAACAGA